UAGCUGUGUGGUAGGUGCAAGAAUCAACCUGGGUUAAUCGCCUGAUUCCCAGCCCAGUCCUCUUGUGAACAUUAUGCUGUCUUCACUGGAAUCCAGCAUCUAUUAAUAUGCAUUCAUGCCCUAGGAUGUGUAUACAUACACUUCAUGCUUCUCUAUUGUCUGUAAAGAUAAAUGUAUUGGUGCAAGAUUAAAGGAAGUGGUUCAGUCAGAGAAUGGGUAGGCAGGAAAUUUAACCAUUAUUUUUAAGAUAAAAGACAAGGCAUACACGACAAGUAGAAGGUAUUUUAAGUGAUGAAGGUCAUCAAGAGCUCAUGUUCUGUCAACAACACAUUUGAACAAGCUACAAGGAGUCCUUGGGCAGUGCAAAUGAUAAAACAUGCUCGGCUGCUAACCAAAAGUUCGGAGAUUUGAGUCCAACUGGAGGGACCUCAGAUGACAGGCCUGACGAUCUACUUCUGAAAAAAUCAGCUAUUGAAAACGCUACAGAGCACAGUUGUGCUCCAACACACACAGGAUCCCCACUAGUCACAAUCAACUGGAUGGGUAAUUGUAGAACCGAAACUCUGCAAUUUGGAUGCCUUUCCAGACAGCAUUACUGAUCGUAAUAGUGGUAAGAAAAUUUUUUUAAUAGGCAUUAAAAACACAGUUUAUGGUUGUUGACCACCUGGUAAAGUAACAUAUUUAUUUUUUACUUCAAAAUUAUUGAGUUCUAAUUUACAUGCAAUGAAAUGCCCAGUUUUUAGUGUAUAGCUCUACGAGUUUUGACAGAUACACCCAUGUAACAGUCAUGUAAAACACCAUGUAGAAUAUUUCCUUUGCCGCAGAAAGUUACUGAUUUCUAAUUUAUUUCUAUUUUUAUAAAAGAACAGGAUCUGUAUGUUUUAGAACUUUGAAAUUUGUUCAGCCUUUUUUUUUAAUGACUCAUCAUAUGGCCUACCUUGGUAAAUAUGUGCAUGUGAAAAAAAUAUGUAUUCUGCUAGUUGGUUGUAGUAUUCUAUAAAUACCAAUUGAGUUAAAUUGGUUGAUUAUAUUGUUUGUGUUUAAUACGUCCUUCCUGACUUUUUGUAUCUGGUUGUCUACUAAUUAUGAGAGAGGAAUAUUGAAAUCUCCAAAGAUAAUUGUCUAUUUCUACCUUUGUUUCACCAACUUUUGCUAGAUUUAUUUGAAAGCGCUGUUAUUGGAAAUACAUAUAAUUAGGAUUGUUAUGUCUUCCUAAUUAAUUGAUCAAUUAUCAUUAUAAAAUGACUCUUUAAUAAUUUUUCUUCCUUCUAACUCUAUUUUUUUUAUAUGGACAUAACACUUCGGGUCCCCUUGACUUGGAAUUGACCAGAUGGCAACUGGUUUGGUACAUAAUAAUACCAGCUUUCUUAUAUUACUGUUUGCAUGUUUAUUUUUUCAAACUUUUAUGUCAACUUCUCUGCAUCUUUAUAUUUAAACAACAUAUAUUAUAAAAUAUAGUUAGAUCUGGAUUUUUUAAUUCAGUCUGAUUUUAUCUUUUUAUUUUUUUCCCCCAAUUUUUGGCUAAUCUAGUGCUAUUUUAUUACAGCUCUUUUUUUUCAGUUCUUAUCUUUGUAUUAUUUUUGUCUGUGUGUGGUUGCUCUAGGUAUCUCAAAGCUCAUCCUUUUUUUUGUCAGAUUAUAUCAUGAAUUAAUAUUAAUACCAUGUCAUAUAUCAUGUAAAAAUGUUACAAAGGAAAAUUUCGUUUGUACUUCCUUCCAUUCCGUGUACUUCUGUUGCAUAUAUUUUAAUUCUACGUAUGUUCUAAAUUCCAUAAUACAUAUAUAUUUCAAAGAAUUUAAGAAAAAAUAUGUAUGUGCAUUUCUCUUGAUAAAUGUUUUUUCUUGAUGAUAGAUCACGUGUUCCUAUUUCUCUAUAGGUCUAGUUUUUUGUUUUUUGUUUUAAAUUGGGUCCUGAACAUCAUGAAUUACGUAUUACAGAUUCUGCUUUCUUCAUUUGGACAGAAUUGAGGUUUAUUCUAGCAGGCAGUUAAGAUUACUGAAAAGUCAUCUUGUUCUUGUGGAUGUUGAAUGUUCUUAUGGAUCCUUAAUAUUAGGUUUUGAAAGUUUCGGUCUUUUUUAUAUUUGCCUUUGGAUCUGGAUGAAUUUCUUAGUCCUAAAACUAAUAAGAUGUGGCCCUUCUGGGAUAUAAUGUAAAGUCCAAAAUGUUUUGCAAGCUCUGCUAACUCGAUAGGAUUAAACUCAAAAUUCUGUUGUCUAUGUGGUAAAUAGCUGCUGAAAUCUAUGUUCUUUCAGUUGUCCAGCUGUUGUCUUCCCCUCAGGUUCCUUGGAGUCUAUCCGCGUUAGUGCACAGUUUAGGAGCCAGGGAAGGAUUAGAAAAUAGCUUAUAAACAGAUUUUGGAGCUUUCCCUUGUUUUUAGAAUUUCCACCAUCAGCUUCCAAUUAUUCUAGUAGACUCAAUCUCCUUUUUCUUUUCACCCUACUAACACUACGGAUCUCUGUUUAAGCUUUAUUUGCCCAUCAUCCACAUGAGCACUCCCAUGGGAAAUGAAGGCUAUAUAAUUUGUGGAUCUCAUCAAGUAUGUUAACUUUAUUUCAAGGGUCGAAUUUCCUCUGCCUUCUGCCUCCUCUCAGUUACUCUCCAAUAUCUUCAGAGAUCUGGAUUUUAUAUUUUUCUAAAGUUUAUAAUUUUUAUCAGCAGGAAGACUAAUUUGAUGCAAGCUCUUCUGUCAUAAUGGAAGGUGGAAGCAUCUUGAGUUAAAAAAAAAUCAUGUUGAAAUAAUUUCAGAUUCACAGGAAGUUUCAAAAAUAGUACUGAGAGGUCCCAGGUACCCUUUACCCAGUUUCCACCAUGGUUACAUUUUACGUAACUAUGGGACAGUAUCAAAACCAGGAAAUGCACAUUGGUAAGUGUGUGUAUAAUCCUUUGCAAUGUUAUCCCAUGUGAAAACUUGCAUAACCACCACUGCGACCAGGAUACAGAGCUAUGCCACCACCAAACACCUACUUUGUGCUACCCCUUCCCUUCUAUCCCUGUGCCCUAACUAUUCUUAACCUCUGGCAACCAUUAAUCUCUUUCGAUCUUUAUAAUUUUGGGACUGCUAUUUUUUUUUAUAUAAAUAGAUUCAUAUAGUAUGUCAUCUUUUGAGAUUUUAUUUGUUUUACUCAGUAUAAUUGCUUUUAGAAUCAUCCAAGUUGUGUAUAUCAAUAGAUUGUUCUUUUUACUGCCAAAGAGUAUUCCAUCGUAUGAAUAUGCAACAGUUUCUUGAACCGUUCACAUAUUAAGGGAUAUUUUGGUUGUUUACAGAUUUUUGUUGUGCAAAUAAAGCUACAGUGAACAUUCAUGUAUAGGCUUUUGUUUAAGUAUAUAUUUUCAUUUCUUUGGAUAAAAUGCCCAGCAGAGUCACAUGGUAAGUGUAUGUUUAAUUUUAUAGAGAGACUGCCAAAGUAUUAUUUGGAAUGGCUGUACUAUUUUACGUUCCCAUUAGCAAUGUAUGAGAUACCAUUUCAUUGCAUCCUUGCCAACAUCUCAUGUAGUCAUUAUUUUGUUAGUUUCUAAUAUGUGUUUUGUGAUGUCUCAUCAUGGUCUACUUUGCAUUACCCUAAUAACCGUUGAUGUUGAAAUAUUUUUAUGCUUUUAUUUUCCUCCAUAUAUCCUCAUUAGUAAAAUAUCUUUCAGUGUCCCUUGCUGAUUUUCUACUUGGACUGUUUUUUAAGAGUUGAAUAUUGUGGGUCAUUUAUAGAUUCUGAAGGAUCCCUGGUGGCACAGUCGUUAAGCACUCAGCUGUUAACCAAAAGAUUGGUAGUUUGAACCCACCAGCCUCUCCACAGGAGAAAGAUGUGGCAUUCUGCUUCAGUAAAAAUUUAAAGCCUUGGAAACUGUAUGGGGCAGUUUUACUCUGCUAUGAGUUGAAAUUGACUCAAUGGCAGCAAGCUUGCUUUGGUUUUUUGAUUUAUAGAUUCUAGAUGUGAGUCCUUUCUUAGACGUGUGGUUUGAAUUUUUUUUUCUCAGUUUUUUCGUCAUCUUAAUGAAGUCUUUCACAGAACAGAAGUUUUUAAUUUUAAUGAAGUACAAUUAGUUGAUUUUUUCUUUUAUGAAUUGUGCUUUAGGUAAUGUCUAAAAACUCUUCACCAAGCACUAGUUCUUGAAGAUUUUCUCAUUUGUUUUCUUCUAAAUGUUUUAGAGUUUUAUAUUUUACAUUUAAAUCUAUGACCCAUUAUGAGUUAAAUUUGUAUAUAGUAUGAGGUUCUUCUUCCUCCUCUCCACCAUAGCAUAUAAGGCAAAGACUACCCUUCUUCUACUGAAUUACAUUUAUGUCAAAAAUCAGUUGGCUAUACUUGUAUGAAUUUAUUUCUGGACUCUCUGUUUUGUUCCAUUGAUUUAUGUAUUUAUUUCUCUGUCAGUAUGACAGGAUUUUUUUUUUUACUUUUUAAAAUUUUAUGUAUUUUGUUGUUAUUGUUGAGAAUAUACACAGCAAAACAUAAACAAUUCUACAGUUUCUACAAGUACCACUUAGUGACAUUGAUAACAUUCUUCAAGUUAUGCAACCAUUCUCACCCUCCUUUCCUGACUUGUUCCUUCCCCAUUAAUAUAAAUUCACCAUCCCUCAAGGUUCUG